rnacentral:rRNA from 1 species
CAAUAGCGUAUAUUAAAGUUGUUGCGGUUAAAAAGCUCGUAGUUGGAUUUCUGCUGAGAACGACCGGUCCGCCCUCUGGGUGUGUAUCUGGCUCUUUCUUGGCAUCUUCUUGGUGAACGUUGCUGCACUUGACUGUGUGGAGCGCUACCCAGGACUUUUACUUUGAGGAAAUUAGAGUGUUUCAAGCAGGCAUACGCCUUGAAUACAUUAGCAUGGAAUAAUAAGAUAGGACCUCGGUUCUAUUUUGUUGGUUUCUAGAGCUGAGGUAAUGAUUAAUAGGGAUAGUUGGGGGCAUUCGUAUUUAACUGUCAGAGGUGAAAUUCUUGGAUUUGUUAAAGACGGACUCCUGCGAAAGCAUUUGCCAAGGAUGUUUUCAUUGA